AGAGUUUGAUCCUGGCUCAGAUUGAACGCUGGCGGCAUGCCUUACACAUGCAAGUCGAACGGUAGAGGGGCAACCCUUGAGAGUGGCGAACGGGUGAGUAAUGCAUCGGAACGUGCCCAGUCAUGGGGGAUAACGCAGCGAAAGCUGUGCUAAUACCGCAUGUGAUCUGUGGAUGAAAGCAGGGGACUUGGUAGCAAUACUGGGCCUUGUGCGAUUGGAGCGGCCGAUGUCAGAUUAGCUAGUUGGUAGGGUAAAAGCCUACCAAGGCGACGAUCUGUAGCUGGUCUGAGAGGACGACCAGCCACACUGGGACUGAGACACGGCCCAGACUCCUACGGGAGGCAGCAGUGGGGAAUUUUGGACAAUGGGCGCAAGCCUGAUCCAGCAAUGCCGCGUGCAGGACGAAGGCCUUCGGGUUGUAAACUGCUUUUGUACGGAGCGAAACGGUCUGGGUUAAUACCCUAGGCUAAUGACGGUACCGUAAGAAUAAGCACCGGCUAACUACGUGCCAGCAGCCGCGGUAAUAC
rnacentral:rRNA from 1 species